GAGGGAAUAGCUCAGUAGUAGAGUGCAUGCUUAGCAUGCAUGGGGACCUGGAUUCGGUCCCCGGUACCUCCA
rnacentral:tRNA from 1 species